CAAGUCGAACGAAGUAGCAAUACUUAGUGGCAGACGGGUGAGUAACAUGUGGGUAUCUUCCCUUUGGUGAGGAAUAACACGAGGAAACUUGUGCUAAUACCUCAUAAGUCUUUACGGAGAAAGCUUUAUGCGCCAAUGGAUGAGCCCGCACUUGAUUAGUUUGUUAGUGGGGUAAUGGCCUACCAAGACUUCGAUCAAUAGCUGAUUUGAGAGGAUGAUCAGCCACAUUGGGACUGAGACACGGCCCAAACUCCUACGGGAGGCAGCAGUAAGGAAUCUUGCACAAUGGAGGAAACUCUGAUGCAGCGAUGCCGCGUGAGUGAAGAAGGCCUUUGGGUUGUAAAGCUCUUUCGUCGGGGAAGAAAAUGACUGUACCCGAAUAAGAAGGUCCGGCUAACUUCGUGCCAGCAGCCGCGGUAAUACGAAGGGACCUAGCGUAGUUCGGAAUUACUGGGCCUAAAGAGUUCGUAGGUGGUUAAAAAAGUUGGUGGUGAAAUCCCAGAGCUUAACUCUGGAACUGCCAUCAAAACUUUUUAGCUAGAGUAUGAUAGAGGAAAGCAGAAUUUCUAGUGUAGAGGUGAAAUUCGUAGAUAUUAGAAAGAAUACCGAUUGCGAAGGCAGCUUUCUGGAUCAUUACUGACACUGAGGAACGAAAGCAUGGGUAGCGAAGAGGAUUAGAUACCCUCGUAGUCCAUGCUGUAAACGAUGUGUGUUAGACGUUGGAAAUUUAUUUUCAGUGUCGCAGCGAAAGCGAUAAACACACCGCCUGGGGAGUACGACCGCAAGGUUAAAACUCAAAUGAAUUGACGGGGACCCGCACAAGUAGUGGAGCAUGUGGUUUAAUUCGAAGAUACGCGCAGAA
rnacentral:rRNA from 1 species